rnacentral:rRNA from 1 species
AUUGAACGCUGGCGGCAGGCCUAACACAUGCAAGUCGAGCGGAGCGGCGGACGGGUGAGUAAUGCCUAGGAAUCUGCCUGGUAGUGGGGGAUAACGUCCGGAAACGGGCGCUAAUACCGCAUACUAUCAGAUGAGCCUAGGUCGGAUUAGCUAGUUGGUGGGGUAAAGGCCUACCAAGGCGACGAUCCGUAACUGGUCUUAGAGGAUGAUCAGUCAAACUGUAAAUGAGAAACGGUCCAGACUCCUCUGGGAGGCAGCAGUGGGGAAUAUUGGACAAUGGGGGAAAGCCUGAUCCAGCCAUGCCGCGGGUGUGAAGAAGGUUUUCGGAUUGUAAAGCACUUUAAGUUGGGAGGCGUUACCAACAGAAUUAGCCACGGCUAACUUCGUUCCAGCAGCCGCGGUAAUAC